rnacentral:rRNA from 1 species
GGAGGUUGGCUUAGAAGCAGCCAUCCUUGAAAGAGUGCGUAAUAGCUCACUGGUUAAGUGGUGAUGCGCCGAUAAUGUAGUGGGGCUUAUAAAGUACACCGCCGAAACCGCGGCAACACACAUUGUGUGUGUUGGGUAGGGGAGCGUCGUGCACGCUGAGAAGCUGUCACGGAAGUGGUGGUGGAGUGUGUGCGAGUGAGAAUGCAGGCAUGAGUAGCGAAAAACAUGUGGAAAACGUGUUCGCCGGAUGACUAAGGGUUCCUGGGUGAAGCUAAUCUUCCCAGGGUGAGUCGGGACCUAAGGCGAGGCCGACAGGCGUAGUCGAUGGAUAACGGGUUGAUAGUCCCGUACCCGUGUAUGCGCGACAAGUGGUGACUCGGUUGUACUAACCACCCACCACCAUUGAUGUUCACACGUUGUGUGUUUGUUGGUGUGUGGUGCGUGGGAUCUUGAUCGUUGGUAGCCAAGCGAUGGGGUGACACAGAUUGGUAGUCAAGGCCACUUAUUGGAUUGUGGUGUAAGCGUGUGGCCCGUAGGAUAGGUAAAUCCGUUCUGCAUAUAGGGUGAGGCGUGAUGCGUACCCAGAUUGUUGGGGAUGUUUGAUGUGCCUGUGCUGUCGAGAAAAGCCUCUAGCGAUGUGUGUGCACGGCCCGUACCGGAAACCGACACAGGUGGUCUGGUUGAGGAUACUAAGGCGUUCGGGUGAACUAUGGUUAAGGAACUCGGCAAAAUGCCCCCGUAACUUCGGGAGAAGGGGGGCCAUGUGCGGCAAUCACCCCUUGUGCGGUGUGCGUUGUGUGUGGCCGCAGAGAAGUGAGGGAAGCGACUGUUUAUUAAAAACACAGGUCCGUGCGAAGACGUUGCAAGUCGAGGUAUACGGACUGACGCCUGCCCGGUGCUGGAAGGUUAAGAGGACUCGUGAGCACACCCUCGUGGUGUGUGAGGCGGGUAAUUGAAGCCCCAGUAAACGGCGGUGGUAACUAUAACCAUCCUAAGGUAGCGAAAUUCCUUGUCGGGUAAGUUCCGACCUGCACGAAUGGCGUAACGACUUCCCUGCUGUCUCAACCAUAGGCCCGGUGAAAUUGCAGUACGAGUAAAGAUGCUCGUUUCGCGCGGCAGGACGAAAAGACCCCGGGACCUUUACUAUAGCUUGGUAUUGGUGUGUGCUGCAGCUUGUGUAGGAUAGGUGGGAGACGUGGAAGCAUUCACGCUAGUGGGUGUGGAGUCAUUGGUGAAAUACCACUCUGGUUGUUGUGUGCAUCUAACUGUGGGCCCUGAUCGGGUUUUGGGACAGUGCCUGGUGGGUAGUUUAACUGGGGCGGUUGCCUCCUAAAUGGUAACGGAGGCGCCCAAAGGUUCCCUCGGCUUGGUUGGUAAUCAGGUUUGUAGAGUGUAAGUGCAGUAAGGGAGCUUGACUGUGACACUGACGGGUGGAGCAGGUGCGAAAGCAGGGACUAGUGAUCCGGCAUCAACGUGUGGGUGUGGUGUCGCUCAACGGAUAAAAGGUACCCCGGGGAUAACAGGCUGAUCUUCCCCAAGAGUUCAUAUCGACGGGAUGGUUUGGCACCUCGAUGUCGGCUCGUCGCAUCCUGGGGCUGGAGUAGGUCCCAAGGGUUGGGCUGUUCGCCCAUUAAAGCGGCACGCGAGCUGGGUUUAGAACGUCGUGAGACAGUUCGGUC